rnacentral:rRNA from 1 species
AUUAGCUAGUUGGUAAGGUAACGGCUUACCAAGGCAACGAUGCAUAGCCGACCUGAGAGGGUGAUCGGCCACACUGGAACUGAGACACGGUCCAGACUCCUACGGGAGGCAGCAGUAGGGAAUCUUCCGCAAUGGGCGAAAGCCUGACGGAGCAACGCCGCGUGAGUGAUGAAGGUCUUCGGAUCGUAAAACUCUGUUAUUAGGGAAGAACAUAUGUGUAAGUAACUGUGCACAUCUUGACGGUACCUAAUCAGAAAGCCACGGCUAACUACGUGCCAGCAGCCGCGGUAAUACGUAGGUGGCAAGCGUUAUCCGGAAUUAUUGGGCGUUAAGCGCGCGUAGGCGGUUUUUUAAGUCUGAUGUGAAAGCCCACGGGCUCAACCGUGGAGGGUCAUUGGAAACUGGAAAACUUGAGUGCAGAAGAGGAAAGUGGAAUUCCAUGUGUAGCGGUGAAAUGCGCAGAGAUAUGGAGGAACACCAGUGGCGAAGGCGGCUCUCUGGUCUGUAACUGACGCUGAUGUGCGAAAGCGUGGGGAUCAAACAGGAUUAGAUACCCUGGUAGUCCACGCCGUAAACGAUGAGUGCUAAGUGUUAGGGCGUUUCCGCCCCUUAGUGCUGCAGCUAACGCAUUAAGCACUCCGCCUGGGGAGUACGACCGCAAGGUUGAAACUCAAAGGAAUUGACGGGGACCCGCACAAGCGGUGGAGCAUGUGGUUUAAUUCGAAGCAACGCGAAGAACCUUACCAAAUCUUGACAUCCUUUGACAACUCUAGAGAUAGAGCUUUCCCCUUCGGGGGACAAAGUGACAGGUGGUGCAUGGUUGUCGUCAGCUCGUGUCGUGAGAUGUUGGGUUAAGUCCCGCAACGAGCGCAACCCUUAAGCUUAGUUGCCAUCAUUAAGUUGGGCACUCUAAGUUGACUGCCGGUGACAAACCGGAGGAAGGUGGGGAUGACGUCAAAUCAUCAUGCCCCUUAUGAUUUGGGCUACACACGUGCUACAAUGGACAAUACAAAGGGCAGCGAAACCGCGAGGUCAAGCAAAUCCCAUAAAGUUGUUCUCAGUUCGGAUUGUAGUCUGCAACUCGACUACAUGAAGCUGGAAUCGCUAGUAAUCGUAGAUCAGCAUGCUACGGUGAAUACGUUCCCGGGUCUUGUACACACCGCCCGUCACACCACGAGAGUUUGUAACACCCGAAG